rnacentral:rRNA from 1 species
UAGGGAAUCUUCCACAAUGGACGAAAGUCUGAUGGAGCAACGCCGCGUGAGUGAUGAAGGGUUUCGGCUCGUAAAACUCUGUUGUUGGAGAAGAACAGGUGAUAGAGUAACUGUUAUCAUCUUGACGGUAUCCAACCAGAAAGCCACGGCUAACUACGUGCCAGCAGCCGCGGUAAUACGUAGGUGGCAAGCGUUGUCCGGAUUUAUUGGGCGUAAAGCGAGCGCAGGCGGUUUUUUAGGUCUGAUGUGAAAGCCUUCGGCUUAACCGGAGAAGGGCAUCGGAAACCGGGAGACUUGAGUGCAGAAGAGGACAGUGGAACUCCAUGUGUAGCGGUGAAAUGCGUAGAUAUAUGGAAGAACACCAGUGGCGAAGGCGGCUGUCUGGUCUGUAACUGACGCUGAGGCUCGAAAGCAUGGGUAGCGAACAGGAUUAGAUACCCUGGUAGUCCAUGCCGUAAACGAUGAGUGCUAAGUGUUGGAGGGUUUCCGCCCUUCAGUGCUGCAGCUAACGCAUUAAGCACUCCGCCUGGGGGAGUACGACCGCAAGGUUGAAAC